GAUGAACGCUGGCGGCGUGCCUAAUACAUGCAAGUCGAGCGAACAGACGAGGAGCUUGCUCCUCUGACGUUAGCGGCGGACGGGUGAGUAACACGUGGAUAACCUACCUAUAAGACUGGGAUAACUUCGGGAAACCGGAGCUAAUACCGGAUAAUAUAUUGAACCGCAUGGUUCAAUAGUGAAAGACGGUUUUGCUGUCACUUAUAGAUGGAUCCGCGCCGCAUUAGCUAGUUGGUAAGGUAACGGCUUACCAAGGCGACGAUGCGUAGCCGACCUGAGAGGGUGAUCGGCCACACUGGAACUGAGACACGGUCCAGACUCCUACGGGAGGCAUCAGUAGGGAAUCUUCCGCAAUGGGCGAAAGCUUGACGGAGCAACGCCGCGUGAGUGAUGAAGGUCUUCGGAUCGUAAAACUCUGUUAUUAGGGAAGAACAAAUGUGUAAGUAACUAUGCACGUCUUGACGGUACCUAAUCAGAAAGCCACGGCUAACUACGUG
rnacentral:rRNA from 1 species